UGAACGGGAAAGGCCAGCUGAAGCUGUCCAUCGAGGUGCGGGGCCGGACGCUGGUGCUGCAUGUCAUGGAAGCAAAAGGUCUGAUGGGAGCAGAGUGCCGUGCGUGCGACUCCUAUGUGAAGGUG